CACGUUUCAUCACUAAAAUGUUGCCAGGGCUUCAGUUAAAUCAGCAGGCACCAGUGCAGGCCCCUGCUGCCCUCACCACGGUGUGAUCAGUGGGGCACCACAACAUGGUGGCAAUGUAAAAUGGCGACUCCCUGGCAGGCACCCACAGCCACGAGGAGUGUCCCCUCUGGUUGUGAGCCUAUGGCCAAAGCGCAGUGCUCACCUAGCUGCCAAGGAACAACUACCAGAGGCACUUGAUAGCAACGCGCUUUAUUUUCCCUAUGGCCACCCUUCUCAGCGCUCAGUCUUCAUGCUGGCAGCCAGGGGACGGGACCGAGGAGCUGAGACACAGAGCAGAAGGGGUUUCAGAGAUUCGGGCUGUCCAUCUGGCUUCAGAUUUAUUCAACUCCCUUCAUGAACUCCAGGAACUCGUCAUAGUCAAUCCUGCCAUCAUUGUUUUUGUCCCCAUCUUUCAUCAGUUCUUCUAUGUCAUCCUCAGUGAUCGUCUCUCCAGUUGCCUGUAGCAUGAUCUUCAGUUCCUCAAGAUCGAUGUAGCCAUCAGCAUUCUUAUCAAACAUCCUGAAGAGAUCUGAGAGCUCCUCUUCAGUUUUUCCUUUGCUGUCAUCUUUCAUACACCGAACCAUCAUAACAAGGAACUCAUCAAAGUCCACAGUGCCACUGCCAUCUUCAUCCACCUCAUCAAUCAUCUCCUGCAGCUCCUCAGGGGUGGGGUUCUGCCCCAGCAUCCUCAUCACCUUCCCCAGCUCCUUGGUGCUGAUGCAGCCAUCCUCUGCCCCCAGCACGAAGAUGUCGAAGGCAGCCUUAAACUCAUUUUUUUGUUCUUCUGUCAACUGCUCAACCGCCGCCUUAUAGAUGUCAUCCAUGGCCGGGCAGGGAGGGCGAAGGGCCGGGGGGCGUCACCGACACGCUCUGCCGCUGCCGCCCCGCCGGCCCCACUGAUAUAGGGGGCAGUGGCCAGUGACGGGAUGCGCCAGCCCACCGCGGCCCGGCCCCGCAGCAGCGCCUCGCCGCGUGCCAGGGCUGCG
rnacentral:lncRNA from 1 species